rnacentral:rRNA from 1 species
GUCUAUAGCCAUGCCACGCUCAACAAGCCCGAUCCCGUCUGAUCUCAGAAGCUAAGCAGGGUCGGGCCUGGUUAGUACUUGGAAGGGAGACCACCUAGGAAGACCAGGUGCUGUAGGAG